rnacentral:rRNA from 1 species
CAGCAGCCACGGGAAUACGGAGGGUGCAAGCGUUAAUCGGAAUUACUGGGCGUAAAGCGCACGCAGGCGGUCUGACAAGUCAGAUGUGAAAUCCCCGGGCUUAACCUGGGAACUGCAUUUGAAACUGUCAGGCUGGAGUCUUGUAGAGGGGGGUGGAAUUCCAGGUGUAGCGGUGAAAUGCGUAGAGAUCUGGAGGAAUACCGGUGGCGAAGGCGGCCCCCUGGACAAAGACUGACGCUCAGGUGCGAAAGCGUGGGGAGCAAACAGGAUUAGAUACCCGAGUAGUCCCUGUCUCUUAUAC